rnacentral:rRNA from 1 species
UGGGGAAUAUUGCACAAUGGGCGCAAGCCUGAUGCAGCGACGCCGCGUGAGGGAUGACGGCCUUCGGGUUGUAAACCUCUUUCAGCAGGGACGAAGCGCAAGUGACGGUACCUGCAGAAGAAGCACCGGCCAACUACGUGCCAGCAGCCGCGGUAAUACGUAGGGUGCGAGCGUUGUCCGGAAUUACUGGGCGUAAAGAGCUCGUAGGCGGUUUGUCGCGUCGUCUGUGAAAUUCUGCAGCUUAACUGCAGGCGUGCAGGCGAUACGGGCAGACUUGAGUACUACAGGGGAGACUGGAAUUCCUGGUGUAGCGGUGAAAUGCGCAGAUAUCAGGAGGAACACCGGUGGCGAAGGCGGGUCUCUGGGUAGUAACUGACGCUGAGGAGCGAAAGCGUGGGUAGCGAACAGGAUUAGAUACCCUGGUAGUCCACGCCGUAAACGGUGGGUACUAGGUGUGGGUUCCAUUUCACGGGAUCCGUGCCGUAGCUAACGCAUUAAGUACCCCGCCUGGGGAGUACGGCCGCAAGGCUAAACUCAAAUGAAUUGACGGGGUCAUAGCUGUUUCCU